GUCGUCGGUGCUUCUCCCCUCCUCGCCCUGCUCCUCAUCGUUUCUGGCCGUCACCUCUUCUCUGCUUCCGUCAGUCUUCUCGUUGCUGCCUGUUUUCUCCGCACCGUGUCUCGUCGCCGUUGCAGACGUUGCUUCUCCUUGCCGUCGUCGCCUCUCAAAGAUCUGCUUGGAGCUGUUGACGUCGCAGUCUCUGUCGUCGUUGUCCUCGAGCCCUCUUUCUCCUUCUCUUUCUGUCCGAGCUGAAUUUUUUUCCUCCUUGCCGUCACGUCCGUUCCUCC
rnacentral:lncRNA from 1 species